UACGUAGGGGGCAAGCGUUGUCCGGAAUCACUGGGCGUAAAGCGUGCGUAGGCGGUUUGUUAAGUCCGAAGUGAAAGUCCAGGGCUCAACCUUGGGAUUGCUUUGGAAACUGGCAGACUUGAGUGCUGGAGAGGCAAGGGGAAUUCCACGUGUAGCGGUGAAAUGCGUAGAUAUGUGGAGGAAUACCAGUGGCGAAGGCGCCUUGCUGGACAGUGACUGACGCUGAGGCACGAAAGCGUGGGGAGCAAACAGG
rnacentral:rRNA from 1 species